rnacentral:rRNA from 1 species
UGGCGGACGGGUGAGUAAUGUCUGGGAAACUGCCUGAUGGAGGGGGAUAACUACUGGAAACGGUAGCUAAUACCGCAUAACGUCGCAAGACCAAAGAGGGGGACCUUCGGGCCCCUUGCCAUCGGAUGUGCCCAAAUGGGAUUAGCUAGUAGGUGGGGUAACGGCUCACCUAGGCGACGAUCCCUAGCUGGUCUGAGAGGAUGACCAGCCACACUGGAACUGAGACACGGUCCAG